GACAUAGGUGGCGAACGUUAUCCGGAAUUAUUGGGCGUAAAGGGUGCGUAGGCGGUCUGACAAGUCUGAUGUGAAAUCUAUGGGCUCAACCCAUAGUCUGCAUCGGAAACUGUCGGGCUUGAGUAUGGAAGAGGUGAGUGGAAUUUCCGGUGUAGCGGUGAAAUGCGUAGAUAUCGGAAGGAACACCUGUGGCGAAAGCGGCUCACUGGACCAUUACUGACGCUGAGGCACGAAAGCUAGGGGAGCAAACAGG
rnacentral:rRNA from 1 species